rnacentral:tRNA from 1 species
GUCCCCGUAGCUCAACUGGAUAGAGCUACAGCGUCCUAAGCUGGAAAUGGGGGUUCAAGUCCCUCCGGGGACA